UCUCCCAUAACUCAAUGACUCCACCUUCUCCAGCCGGCAAAGAUAAAGAACAGAGUCUUACAAGAACAGAGUCCUGCCUUCACUAGCCUGCCACCAUCGGUCAGCCGGCAAAACCACUACUGGUAAAACUAAUUUCUUGCGUUUUCCCCUUUCAGUUGUAAUACUUAGGAUUUUCUUUCUUAAUCUUCUUCUCCUUCUAAGUGAGAGUUUUUUUUGUGUAAUUUGGCUGGCUCAAUUUUUUUUUCCUUCCCUUUGAUGUUCACACUGUCACGCUACCGUAUUGUGCUUUUUCCUGAGACUUCGUAAGGGUGCGGAGAGAGUUUAGAAGGCUGUCACCACCAGUCUACCGCCACUAUCAGAUGGCUGGAACUGCUGCAGGUAAAGAUAAAUUCUGAUGAUGGGUUUCAUUGGUAAUAAAAAGAGAUAUUUGGAUGACCAGUUUGAAGUUUGAAGAUUUCAAGAAUUGCAAGAUGACAACAUGUAAAUUUUGUGGGCAAAGGUUGCUGGCCAAAUUUGGUGUGGCAUUGGGUUACAUUCAUAAGGUAUCAUGGUGACAUUCCAUCUUUGUUUGUAUGAUCAUCUCUAAAAGGGUCUUGAUAUCUUGAUGAUGCAGAAGAUGUAGAUACAUCUGUGUUCAGCUGAAUAUCUCUGCUUAACCAAUUUAUUUUCACUUUAAUAUGAUAAUAUUUGUUACACAUAAUACUUUUGAUCUUAUUGUUUUACCCACUAAAAGAAGAGGAAGUUCUUUCAACAUUAAGAGUCCUCUUAUUUGUAGGGAAGAGAGUCAGAUUACGGAAAUGGGCAAUUUCAUCAUUAUUUGAAGUAUGUUGUAGUUUCAUUCUCAAAGGUUCUUGCUACGUCAUAUUGAACUGGACCUGU